GCAGUCGUGGCCGAGUGGUUAAGGCGAUGAACUAGAAAUCCAUUGGGGUCUCUCCACACAAGAUCGAAUCCUGUCGACUGCG
rfam:Ixodes scapularis strain Wikel colony gcontig_1108379875536, whole genome shotgun sequence.